rnacentral:rRNA from 1 species
AGUGAACGCUGGCGGUAGGCCUAACACAUGCAAGUCGAACGGCAGCACAGUAAGAGCUUGCUCUUACGGGUGGCGAGUGGCGGACGGGUGAGGAAUACAUCGGAAUCUACUUUUUCGUGGGGAUAACGUAGGGAAACUUACGCUAAUACCGCAUACGACCUACGGGUGAAAGCAGGGGAUCUUCGGACCUUGCGCGAUUGCAUGAGCCGAUGUCGGAUUAGCUAGUUGGCGGGGUAAAGGCCCACCAAGGCGACGAUCCGUAGCUGGUCUGAGAGGGUGAUCAGCCACACUGGAACUGAGACACGGUCCAGACUCCUACGGGAGGCAGCAGUGGGGAAUAUUGGGCAAUGGGCGCAAGCCUGAUCCAGCCAUACCGCGUGGGUGAAGAAGGCCUUCGGGUUGUAAAGCCCUUUUGUUGGGAAAGAAAAGCAGCAGGUUAAUACCCCGCUGUUCUGACGGUACCCAAAGAAUAAGCACCGGCUAACUUCGUG